CCGUCCCAACUAUUUUGAGACCUGUAGCAGGCAUCAAAUUUGAAAUGAGCUCAUUUUGUGCAUAAAAUUGUAAAAUUUUUUGUUUAAAUAUGUGUUAUGCUAUCUAUGUUCUAUUGUGAAAAAAAUAUUGGCUCAUGUGAUUUGAAAGUCUUUUAGAUUUCAUUUUAUUCAAAUGUAAAAAACGUCCCAACAUUUCCGAAAUUCGGGUUGUAAGUGUGAACUGGUGCAUAUCACUUUAUCCUGAAAUAAGGGGAGACAGUGCAGUUCAUUAUUAGUUCAUGUUAAUUAAUGACUAAUUACUAAUUAAAGUGUUACCACUAAAGCUUUUUCUAUCAUUCACAUCUACCUCAUCAAUUUUAAUCAUAUCAUAUAAAAGUAAGAUAUAUAUAUUAAUAUAUAUUUUUAAUUUUGGGUUGGUUCCCCAAAAAAUGUCAAUUCUGUCAUUAAUUACUCACCCUCAUGUCGUUCCACACCCGUAAGACCUUCGUUCAUCUUUGGAACACAAAUGAAGAUAUUUCUGAUGAAAUUCGAGAGGCAUCUGACUCGUCCAAUGGCACAGAAGAUAUUGUUGAAUAAAGUCCUUAUUUUUGUUUUGUAUUUGCGCACAAAAAGUAUUCUCAUCACUUCAUAAAAUUAAGGUUGAACCACUGCAGUCACAUGGACUAUUUUAAAGAUGUCUUUAGUACCUUUCUGGACCUUGAAAGUGGUGGUUAAAUUGCUGUCUAUGGAGGAGUGUCACAUCCCGGACUCACAUUCCCGGACUCCGUUUCCCAGAAUCCUCCUGUUCCGCACUCCUGUUUGCACUUCCCUCAUCAGUCUUCCCGCCAUCUCCCCGGAUUCCCAGCACCUGUUGUCCUCGUCAGCACUCCCUUUAGUUGGACUCACUCCCUGCACUCCUGGUCCGUUAUAUUGUUAGCUUUCCGUGUGUUAGUGUGGUUUCUGCUCCUACGUUCAUUAAAGACCCUUACUUUGUGGAUUACCGUGUAUUGCCUGAUCCCUGCAGCACCACACGUAACAAGGAGUCAGAUACCUCUCGGAUUUCAUCAAAAAUAUCUUAAUUUGUGUUCCGAAGAUGAACGAAGGUCUUACGGGUGUGGAACGACAUGAGGAGUUCAAGACUGUAUAUUAUGAUGAUGUCACCAACAGCAGUGGCCUGAAAGUGGAAGCACCAGAGAGUUAUGAUGAUAACAGAAGGAGUUCAGGAGGAGUAAGAAAAUGUGAUGAGUGUCACUGAAGAUAUGAGAAACCUGUCAGAUUAUGAUGAUGUGGGGGAGGAGUCAAUCAAAGAGGGAGGGGCUGAGUGAUUGAAUGACCACACCCACUGCCUCUGUUCAACACAUCUGAACAUUCAACAGUGAUAGUUCUCUGUGAAAUCUCAAGUUUUAUGUUAUUUGAAAUAUUUCUGUAAUGAAACAACAAAAAGCUUUUGUGAAUUUUUUUUUUUUUUUUGUUGUAUUGGUUUUUUGGCCUAUUGUAUUUAUACUAAUAAAAAUAAAACAAACAAUAAUGUUUUUGUGAAAUUACAAAAUCUAAACAUAAAUCACUGUUUAUUUAAUAGAUUUAUAUACAGUAUAUGCACAAUGCUGGGAAUUUAAAAAAUGCACGUGUAUUACUGCCAUCUAGUGGAUGAAUUAUGCAAUACAGCUAUUUAAUAGUUCUGUCUAAAUCUAAAUAUACAACUAUUCUAAUAAUUAGACUAUUUAAAUUUUCAUUGUUUAUUUAAAAUCUAAUGGCUAUUAAACUUUUAUCCAGAACACUCCUAGUGUACAAAUGUCUCCAAUAAGACAAAAACACCCUGAUAUUUUAAUGUGUCCCAGUGGAGGAUGAAGAUUUCUGAGUCGUUGAUGAGGAAGCAUCUUUUGUGUCUUAUACAUUAACAGUAUAUAUCAAUGGUUUUGAUUAAUCUUAUUAAUCUACGGUUCCCUAGUGCCCAAGCCAUCAUGUAGUAAUCCUGUAGAGGUUUUGUUUAAAAAAAAAAAAAAAAAAAAAAAAAAAUCUGAUGGAUAAAUAUUAUUUCUAAAAACAAACAAACAACAACAAAAAAGAGGUAUCCUACUGGGGCAGAACAGUGAUGACAGUGUAUUUGGGGUGUAACGAUUCACUCGUUUUCUCGAUGCAUCGAUUACAAAUCCUGACGAUGCAUAUGCAUCGAUCUUGAAACAUGUUUUUUGAAUCGUUAAUCGUUAAUUUAGGCCGAUAAUCGAUGUAAAAUGCUAAGAAUUGGAUUAAUCGCGCAUUUAUCUAUCAAUCAGAUGCGUGUUGAAGUUGCGUUCGUUACUAUAGCAACAGUAGAAAUCCAGCGCGUUUUCUUUCAGAAUCAUAAGGAAAAUGCUCCGUAUAAAGAGGACAAAGAGGGCUUUUCUUACUAUUCCGUGAAGAAAAGUUAGUUUAAGAUUAUUUGGGAAAGUGCAUGAUAUUCUAGGGUAAUCUCUCCAUGUAAGCAUUAGUAUGUUUAAUGUACCUAGAACACUUUAAUAAGGUUGUGUAGCCUUUAACACUAUCCUUCACUAGUUAACUAUUUAUGAACUAGGCCUAACAGUAUUUUUAAAGCCCUUUUAAAGUUUUGGCUUAUGUAAAUUUCCACAAAUGCCAAUUUUUAUAGGCUAUUAAAAUAAAGUUAUGUAGCAUCAAGAACAUGAACUAACAAUGGACAAAAGUUUUUUGUUUGUUUGUUUG